rnacentral:rRNA from 1 species
GAUGAACGCUGGCGGCGUGCUUAACACAUGCAAGUCGAACGAUGAAGCCCAGCUUGCUGGGUGGAUUAGUGGCGAACGGGUGAGUAACACGUGAGUAACCUGCCCUUAACUCUGGGAUAAGCCUGGGAAACUGGGUCUAAUACCGGAUAGGAGCGCCUACCGCAUGGUGGGUGUUGGAAAGAUUUAUCGGUUUUGGAUGGACUCGCGGCCUAUCAGCUUGUUGGUGAGGUAAUGGCUCACCAAGGCGACGACGGGUAGCCGGCCUGAGAGGGUGACCGGCCACACUGGGACUGAGACACGGCCCAGACUCCUACGGGAGGCAGCAGUGGGGAAUAUUGCACAAUGGGCGAAAGCCUGUUGCAGCGACGCCGCGUGAGGAAUGACGGCCUUCGGGUUGUAAACCUCUUUCAGUAGGGAAGAAGCGAAAGUGACGGUACCUGCAGAAGAAGCACCGGCUAACUACGUG